UGAACUUGAAGUGACCCCACCUCUCUGC
rnacentral:piRNA from 1 species